GUUUGAUGUGUCAAAGACAUUGUAUAUUCCUCAAAAUCAUGGACUCUAUUUCACCCAUGUUCUUCCUUACUUGUUAUCAUAUAAACUACUAUUUGUAGCAAUUUAGGUUU